rnacentral:lncRNA from 1 species
UAUUCCUGGGAUCUCUUGUACAUGAUAAUCUCACUCUUGUACAUGAUAAUCUCACUCUUAUAAGGUUUCAUCGUUUCUGCUUACUCUAGUUUUCUUUCCCACUCUGUUCCCUCUCCCACCAGACUGGACUCUGAAAUGGGCAUGUACAGAGAUGAAGAGACCCCAACAUGCUUCAGGCUUUGAGUGGAGAGGACACAGCCUCUGCUGGGACAGGGAACAGAGGGAUGUGGAGUCCCUGAAGAUGCUUUUGGACAAUGGUCUGAGGUUGGCAUGAGCCAUGACAUCAGAGAUUCCGACCUUCCUGAUUGGAGGGACCGGACUCCCUGGUGCCUGGAGAUCAGUUGGACAACAGUAUCUUCUCAGAGCUGUUCUCCACUCCUGACUUCUCCUAGGCUUGAGAAUUGAUAACAUCCUCUUCUGGAUCCUGACAGUGUCCAGAAGAAGGCCAUGGACAGAACGGAGACUAGGUUCCAUAAGAGGGGACAGAUUACGGGAAAGAUCACGACCAGCCGUCAACCGCACUCCCAGAAUGAGCAGAGUCCCCAGCGGAGCACCUCGGGGUACCCCCUCCAAGAGGUGGUGGAUGAUGAAGUGUUGGGACCAUCAGGUGAGGGGACUGGUGGAAGAAGAGGUGGGAUAGGAUUGACUAAGACGAAGGAAGGGGGCCAGGUGCGGUGGCUCACG